GUCCCUGGCUCUGACCUUUCGGUCUGCUUCCUGAUUCACCAUGAGGAGAAUAGCUUUCUGCUUGCUCCAUCACUGAGCUCUGCUGAGCUGCCGUGCCACGCCUCCCCCACCGGGAUUCACGAAGACAUUCCAAACCUGUUACCUGAUAUGAAAUCAAAUGAAUAUCUCUUUACCACCUCCCAAUGAAACUAGAAGGCUCUGGAUUUGAUACAACAUGACCUGUGGCAAAGGUCUUCAACCCAGAAGAAGUCUGUCCACUAUGGCUUCACGGACACACCAACAGCACUUGGAGAGUUCAUUUAUUUCCGUUGAUACUUCCUCUGCUUCUUCAAUGUCUCCAUUUUUGCUUUGCUUUAUGUUGACUUUUUAAGAAUUUACCAAUGGGGCUGGCAAGAUGGCUCAGCAGGUAGCAGAGUCCGAAUACUUGUGUCCCACCAGGACCCACGUGGUAGAAGGAAAGAACAGACUCCUGCCAGCUGUCCUCUGACUUUCAUAAGGGUGU